ACUUUUCUCAUUUGUUUCUCAUCUCACUCUCAGACACUUUCCUCGCCGCACUCAUCUCCGACCAUCUCACUCUCUACUCACCACCGCACAAUUUAUCCAUUCGCGCAUUUGGUCGCAGAAACGUAACAACAUCAUCGUUAGCGCAUCUUCUGGCGUUCGCAGCUUCACCACCACACAAUUUGGCCGUUGUUCUCCUCUUGUCCGAGAUUGUUCAGAUUCACGCUUUACCUCGCCUAACCGUAGUGAGGAAGUGAAUUUCUGAGACUCUACUGAACGCGAGGUUUGUGAAGUUCUGAAGUCGAAGUCCCUAUGGGAUGCACACCAGGUUUCUCGUAAGCAUUGUGAGGCAAUAAGUAUCUUUUUGGAGGGUAUGAUUUGUUUCCCUUUGCAUCUGUUCGUCCCCCCCCCCCCAGAACAGUGAGUAUAAUCAUUACCACUCAAUCUUGAGUAUUUUAUGAAAUGAAGGUAUAGCAUACAAGACUUAGGUGCUUUUGAGUUUGUUUGUAUGUAUGCAAUGUAUCUUACUGCCUUUCUCAAUUCUUCCUUUGGAUCUGCCUGUUCUUACUUCUUAAUAAAAUAAUGGUUAAUAGCAUAAAGCAAGUUUUCUUCCUAUGUAAGAAAUGUUUGGCACAAAACUAAAGUUUGUCUUGUUUUAUGUUUAUGAAAGGCUGCAGAGUUGGGUAGAGUACCCACAGUGGACGAGGUCUUUGUAAGAACUCAAACCAG